rnacentral:rRNA from 1 species
UACUGAAGGUGCAAGCGUUAAUCGGAAUCACUGGGCGUAAAGCGCGCGUAGGUGGCUUUGUAAGUCAGAUGUGAAAGCCCACGGCUCAACCGUGGAAUUGCAUUUGAUACUGCAUCGCUAGAGUAUAGGAGAGGGAAGUGGAAUUUCUGGCGUAGGAGUGAAAUCCGUAGAGAUCAGAAGGAACACCCGUGGCGAAGGCGACUUCCUGGACUAUUACUGACACUGAGGUGCGAAAGCGUGGGGAGCAAACAGG